rnacentral:rRNA from 1 species
UACGUAGGGGGCAAGCGUUGUCCGGAUUUAUUGGGCGUAAAGAGCGUGUAGGCGGCCAGGUAGGUCUGCUGUGAAAACUCGAGGCUUAACCUCGAGAUGUCGGCGGAAACCAUCUGGCUAGAGUCCGGAAGAGGAGAGUGGAAUUCCUGGUGUAGCGGUGAAAUGCGCAGAUAUCGGGAAGAACACCCGUGGCGAAGGCUUUUCUCUGACGGUACUGACGCUGAGACGCGAAAGCGUGGGGAGCGAACAGG